UUUUUAUUAGACAAUGACUAUCAUGUCACGUGUCAUGUUUUGAUUGGUCAAUAAAAAUAAUGCAUUUCAUCUUUCAUGAAGUUGACAUCCAAUCAAAACAACACAUAACAAUUAUCAUUC
rfam:Glycine soja cultivar W05 scaffold3034_6, whole genome shotgun sequence.